UGCAUACAAUAGAUUCUACAUUAAGUCUAAACAAACAAAGCCCAUUGGUGCCUUCCAAAACAUAAACUCAGAAAAAAGGUGAAUAGUGAGAAGAGACACUGUACGACAUAGCAUUAAUAUUGGAAAAACAGCACCACGGAUUAUUAAAAAGGCAUGAAAUCAUCACCAGCAAUUGCAUGUACAUCCAUCUUGGAAUCCUGAUCGUGAAGGGCUCCCAUUCUUUCAUCCAAUAUUGCUAACUGGGACUUCACCCAGGCUGGAUUAUAUCUACCUUCAACCCAUAAAGCCUCUCCUGUAUCUUUAUGCUUGAAAUCAGGAUAUUUUGGGUUCCUCUUGUUCUUUCUAUUAUCCCACCACUCCAAAGGAUUAGCGAAAAAGGCUUGCCAUAGUUCUUCUGUGGAAACUGUGCUGUUUGUAGCAUUAUUGCCAAACUUUCGACUUGCUACCAUGCUAUCAGAAUCACGAUCAUAUAAUGCUGGUGACCCAGAGCUCCUUUCAAUAAAAUUUAAUUGCUGGACCACUACUUUGUAGUAGGUCUGCUGCUUCCCAUCAUCAUUUUCAACUACAUCUGAAACCAAUCGACCAGAAACAUAUAUUUGGUGGCCUUUUUCAACAUGCUGAGAAGUAACUUGUGCCAGCUCAUCCCAGAACGUCAAACUGAUCCAUGUUGUCUCCGUGGCGGUUUUCUUGACGGCGAGUCUUGUCCACGCAAGGACCUUGCCAGAAGGGAGGUGCUUGAUUUCAACAGGGGUCCCAACAAUGCCAAUGAAAUGCACUGUGUUACAGAGCUCCUUAUUCCAUGGAACCUCCGCCGGUUUAGCAUACUCUACCACCUGAUUGAAGUUGUUGUCUCUGAAAUGAACCGAACAUUUCAAGCUGUGAUUAAAGCGAAAUCGUUCAAUAUCUGUCCGGGGAUAGAAGGACAAGUGGGUUGGGGAUAAAGCAGGGUUUUGGGAGUUUGCGAGAGGGUUCCCUGGAACACGGAGGAAGGUGUUACUGCAACCGGAGGAUGAUAACAGAGCUUGCUCCAACGCCAUCAUUCUUCGUUUUAGCUAGCAGCUAGAAGGGUUUUGGGUUUUGCGAAUUUCAUCUUCUCCUUAUCCUAAUC
rnacentral:misc_RNA from 1 species